rnacentral:rRNA from 1 species
GAUGAACGCUGGCGGCGUGCCUAAUACAUGCAAGUCGAGCGAAGCGGGGACGGGUGAGUAACACGUGGAUAACCUCCUAUAAGACGGGGAUAACUUCGGGAAACCGGAGCUAAACCGGAUACUUACAGAUGGAUCCGCGCUGGAUUAGCUAGUUGGUAAGGUAACGGCUUACCAAGGCAACGAUGCAUAGCCGACCUGAGAGGGUGAUCAGCCACACUCGAACUGAGACACGGCCCAGACUCCUACGGGAGGCAGCAGUGGGGAAUCUUCCGCAAUGGGCGAAAGCCUGACGCAGCAACGCCGCGUGAGUGAUGAAGGUCUUCGGAUCGUAAAACUCUGUUAUUAGGGAAGCGGUACCUAAUCAAAAAGCCACGGCUAACUACGUGCCAGCAGCCGCGGUAAUAC